GGUAACAGAGGAGCUUGCUCUUGCUGACGAGUGGCGAACGGGUGCGUAACGCGUAUACAACUUGCCUAUAACUGGGAGAUAGCCCAUGGAAACGUGGAUUAAUACCCCAUAACACUACAGAUUCGCAUGUUUUUGUAGUUAAAGCUUUUUGCGGUUAUAGAUGGGUAUGCGUGACAUUAGCUAGUUGGUGAGGUAAUGGCUUACCAAGGCUACGAUGUCUAGGGGGCCUGAGAGGGUGAUCCCCCACACUGGUACUGAGACACGGACCAGACUCCUACGGGAGGCAGCAGUGAGGAAUAUUGCACAAUGGAGGAAACUCUGAUGCAGCCAUGCCGCGUGCAGGAUGACUGCCCUAUGGGUUGUAAACUGCUUUUAUAUAGGAAGAAACCUCUCUACGUGUAGAGAGCUGACGGUACUAUAAGAAUAAGGACCGGCUAACUCCGUGCCAGCAGCCGCGGUAAUACGGAGGGUCCAAGCGUUAUCCGGAUUUAUUGGGUUUAAAGGGUGCGUAGGCGGAAAUUUAAGUCAGUGGUGAAAUCCUACAGCUCAACUGUAGAACUGCCAUUGAAACUGGAUUUCUUGAAUAUAGUUGAAGUAGGCGGAAUAUGUAGUGUAGCGGUGAAAUGCUUAGAUAUUACAUAGAACACCGAUUGCGAAGGCAGCUUGCUAAACUAUUAUUGACGCUGAGGCACGAAAGCAUGGGGAGCGAACAGGAUUAGAUACCCUGGUAGUCCGUGCCGUAAACGAUGAUUACUCGAUAUUGGCGAUAUACUGUCAGUGUCCAAGCGAAAGUGUUAAGUA
rnacentral:rRNA from 1 species